AUUGAACGCUGGCGGCAGGCUUAACACAUGCAAGUCGAGCGGGGUGAUGGUGCUUGCACUAUCACUUAGCGGCGGACGGGUGAGUAAUGCUUAGGAAUCUGCCUAUUAGUGGGGGACAACAUCUCGAAAGGGAUGCUAAUACCGCAUACGUCCUACGGGAGAAAGCAGGGGAUCACUUGUGACCUUGCGCUAAUAGAUGAGCCUAAGUCGGAUUAGCUAGUUGGUGGGGUAAAGGCCUACCAAGGCGACGAUCUGUAGCGGGUCUGAGAGGAUUAUCCGCCACACUGGGACUGGGACACGGCCCAGGCUCCUACGGGAGGCAGCAGUGGGGAAUAUUGGACAAUGGGGGGAACCCUGAUCCAGCCAUGCCGCGUGUGUGAAGAAGGCCUUAUGGUUGUAAAGCACUUUAAGCGAGGAGGAGGCUCUUUUGGUUAAUACCCAAGAUGAGUGGACGUUACUCGCAGAAUAAGCACCGGCUAACUCUGUGCCAGCCGCCGCCGUAA
rnacentral:rRNA from 1 species